rnacentral:rRNA from 1 species
AGCAGCCGCGGUAAUUCCAGCUCCAAUAGCGUAUAUUAAAGUUGUUGCAGUUAAAAAGCCGUAGUUGAAUUUCGGGAUUAGCAGGUCGGUCGUGCCACUGGUACGUACUGGUCUUGCUAUUCCUCCCUCUUGACGAGCCGUAAUGCCAUUAAUUUGGUGUUGCGGGGAAUCAGGACUUUACUUUGAAAAAAUUAGAGUGUUUAA